rnacentral:rRNA from 1 species
GGCCGCUAAUACCCCAUAUGCCGAGAGGUGAAACGAAUUUCGCCUGAGGAUGAGCCCGCGUCUGAUUAGCUAGUUGGUGGGGUAAGAGCCCACCAAGGCGACGAUCAGUAGCUGGUCUGAGAGGAUGAUCAGCCACACUGGGACUGAGACACGGCCCAGACUCCUACGGGAGGCAGCAGUGGGGAAUUUUCCGCAAUGGGCGAAAGCCUGACGGAGCAACGCCGCGUGAGGGAUGAAGGCCUCUGGGCUGUAAACCUCUUUUCUCAAGGGAGAAGACAUGACGGUACUUGAGGAAUAAGCCACGGCUAAUUCCGUGCCAGCAGCCGCGGUAAUACGGGAGUGGCAAGCGUUAUCCGGAAUUAUUGGGCGUAAAGCGUCCGCAGGCGGCUCUGUAAGUCUGUUGUUAAAGCGUGGAGCUCAACUCCAUUUCAGCAAUGGAAACUACAGGGCUUGAGUGUGGUAGGGGCAGAGGGAAUUCCCGGUGUAGCGGUGAAAUGCGUAGAUAUCGGGAAGAACACCAGUGGCGAAGGCGCUCUGCUGGGCCAUAACUGACGCUCAUGGACGAAAGCCAGGGGAGCGAAAGGGAUUAGAUACCCCUGUAGUCCUGGCCGUAAACGAUGAACACUAGGUGUCGGGGGAAUCGACCCCCUCGGUGUCGUAGCCAACGCGUUAAGUGUUCCGCCUGGGGAGUACGCACGCAAGUGUGAAACUCAAAGGAAUUGACGGGGGCCCGCACAAGCGGUGGAGUAUGUGGUUUAAUUCGAUGCAACGCGAAGAACCUUACCAGGGUUUGACAUCCUGCGAAUCCCUUGGAAACUUGGGAGUGCCUUCGGGAGCGCAGAGACAGGUGGUGCAUGGCUGUCGUCAGCUCGUGUCGUGAGAUGUUGGGUUAAGUCCCGCAACGAGCGCAACCCACGUCUUUAGUUGCCAGCAUUCAGUUGGGCACUCUAGGGAGACCGCCGGUGAUAAACCGGAGGAAGGUGUGGAUGACGUCAAGUCAUCAUGCCCCUUACAUCCUGGGCUACACACGUACUACAAUGCUACGGACAGAGGGCAGCAAGCUCGCGAGAGUUAGCAAAUCCCAUAAACCGUGGCUCAGUUCAGAUCGUAGGCUGCAACUCGCCUACGUGAAGGAGGAAUCGCUAGUAUCGCAGGUCAGCAUACUGCGGUGAAUACGUUCCCGGGCCUUGUACACACCGCCCGUCACACCAUGGAAGUUGGCCAUGCCCGAAGUCGUUACUCCAACCCUUGUGGAGGAGGACGCCGAAGGUGGGGCUGAUGACUGGGGUGAAGUCGUAACAAGGUA